rnacentral:rRNA from 1 species
CCUACGGGAGGCAGCAGUGGGGAAUUUUGGACAAUGGGCGAAAGCCUGAUCCAGCAAUGCCGCGUGAGUGAAGAAGGCCUUCGGGUUGUAAAGCUCUUUUGUCAGGGAAGAAACGGUGAGAGCUAAUAUCUUUUGCUAAUGACGGUACCUGAAGAAUAAGCACCGGCUAACUACGUGCCAGCAGCCGCGGUAAUACGUAGGGUGCAAGCGUUAAUCGGAAUUACUGGGCGUAAAGCGUGCGCAGGCGGUUUUGUAAGUCUGAUGUGAAAUCCCCGGGCUCAACCUGGGAAUUGCAUUGGAGACUGCAAGGCUAGAAUCUGGCAGAGGGGGGUAGAAUUCCACGUGUAGCAGUGAAAUGCGUAGAUAUGUGGAGGAACACCGAUGGCGAAGGCAGCCCCCUGGGUCAAGAUUGACGCUCAUGCACGAAAGCGUGGGGAGCAAACAGGAUUAGACACCCUGGUAGUCCACGCCCUAAACGAUGUCUACUAGUUGUCGGGUCUUAAUUGACUUGGUAACGCAGCUAACGCGUGAAGUAGACCGCCUGGGGAGUCGGUCGCAAGNUUAAAACUCAAAUGAAUUGACGG